AUUGAACGCUGGCGGCAGGCCUAACACAUGCAAGUCGAACGGCAGCACAGAAGAGCUUGCUCUUUGGGUGGCGAGUGGCGGACGGGUGAGUAAUGUCUGGGAAGCUGCCCGAUGGAGGGGGAUAACUACUGGAAACGGUAGCUAAUACCGCAUAACGUCGCAAGACCCAAGUGGGGGACCUUCGGGCCUCACACCAUCGGAUGUGCCCAGAGGGGAUUAGCUAGUAGGUGGGGUAAUGGCUCACCUAGGCGACGAUCCCCAGCUGGGCUGAGGAGAUGAACAGCAACACGGGACAUACGACAACGUGCAGACUCCUACGGGAGACAGCAGUGAGGAAUAUUUGACAAGUGGCGCAAGCUUGAUGCAGCCACUCCGCGUGUAUGAAGAAGGGCUUCGGGUUGUAAAGUACUUUCAGCGGGGAGGAAGGAGGUAAGGUUAAUAACCUCGCCGAUUGACGUUACCCGCAGAAGAAGCACCGGCUAACUCCGUGCCAGCAGCCGCAGUAA
rnacentral:rRNA from 1 species